UUCCCUUCCGUUGCUGAGGCGGCGGGAGCCACGUCCGGACAAACUAAGCUGAGGUCUUCUGAGGGAGUCGGCUGGCAAAGCAGCUCCGGUAGCGGGGCGGCAGCGGGGGUCAGUCAGGCUGCGACGGCGGUGCCAGGGCCCCGCUGAGCCCGCCCGCUCCUGGCACCGGGAGCCUGCCUGCGAGGUGGCCCGAGCCGAGAGGCAGCAAGUGAAGCUGUGAGGAGUUGGAGGCUCCCAGGGCAAAGCCUCAGACACCUGCGUGAUCUCGGGUUCCAGCCGUCCUUCCUAGCGCACCACCAAGCCGACCCUGACUUCCUGUGCAGCAUGCUCGGCCGCCUUAUGGUCGCCCAAGUGGUAUGCUCAUCUUCUGUUACUCUGGUUGUGAGUGAAAAUCCAGAGAAAAAUAGGUACCAGCUGAGGUAAUGAAAAUGCAGGCAGAGGUGAGUAGGAAAUUCUUCAACUAAAAUUGCAUUUCUGUUGCCAGCAGAUGAGAAGUACUCCUAUUUGUGUGGC
rnacentral:lncRNA from 1 species